UGAGUACGAGAUGCUACGGCAUCGAAGCAGUCUAUGUCAUACUUCCAAGAAAAGCUUGCACUGUCAGAAACAGAUAAUGCCUGUACCAUAACCGACACAGGUGGGUAGGUAGAGUAUACUAAGGGGCGCGAGAUAACUCUCUCUAAGGAACUCGGCAAAAUGACUCCGUAACUUCGGGAGAAGGAGUGCCUUAUUUUUAAGGUUGCAAUAACAAGAUCCAAGCAACUGUUACCAAAAACACAGGUCUCCGCUAAGUCGUAAGACGAUGUAUGGGGGCUGACGCCUGCCCAGUGCCAGAAGGUUAAAGAAGUCGGUUAGCAUUCGCGAAGCUGGUAACUGAAGCCCUGGUGAACGGCGGCCGUAACAAUAACGGUCCUAAGGUAGCGAAAUUCCUUGUCGGGUAAGUUCCGACCGGCACGAAAGGCGUAAUGAUUUGGAUACUGUCUCGGAGAGGGGCUCGGUGAAAUAGACUUGUCUGUGAAGAUGCGGACUACCUGCACCUGGACAGAAAGACCCUAUGAAGCUUUACUGUAACUUGAAAUUGAAAUUGGACUUUAUUUGCGCAGUAUAGGUGGGAGGCGUUGAAAAUAUUCUUGCGGGAAUAUUGGAGCCAUCAGUGAGAUACCACUCUUGUAAUGUUAGAUUUCUAACUUUAUAUCAUUAUCUGGUUAGAGAACAGUUUCAGGCGGGCAGUUUGACUGGGGCGGUCGCCUCCCAAAUGGUAACGGAGGCGCACAAAGGUUUCCUCUGAACGGGUAGAAAUCGUAUCUAGAGUGUAAAGGCAUAAGGAAGCUUGACUGUGAGACCUACAAGUCGAGCGGGGACGAAAGUCGGUCUUAGUGACCUGACGGUGCUGAGUGGAAAGGCCGUCACUCAACGGAUAAAAGUUACUCUAGGGAUAACAGGCUGAUCUCCCCCAAGAGUUCACAUCGACGGGGAGGUUUGGCACCUCGAUGUCGGCUCAUCGCAUCCUGGGGCGGUAGUACGUCCCAAGGGUUGGGCUGUUCGCCCAUGAAAGCGGUACGCGAGCUGGGUUCAAAACGUCGUGAGACAGUUCGGUCCAUAUCCGGUGUAGGCGUUAGAAUAUUGAGAGGAGCCUUCUUUAGUACGAGAGGACCGAGAAGGACAUACCUCUGGUGUACCAGUUAUCGUGCCAACGGUAAACGCUGGGUAGCUAUGUAUGGAGUGGAUAACCGCUGAAAGCAUCUAAGUGGGAAGCCCACCUCGAGAUAAG
rnacentral:rRNA from 1 species